GACUCUCUAUCACUAAAAGCCAGUAAUCAGGCAAAGAACUUAGGAAUCAUGUUUGACAGUGACCAAAGUACUGAUAUUAUUUAUUAUUUAUAUAAUUUGUAUAAAAUCUUAGAAAAAGCAGAAAAUUCAUGUUUCACGUUUCAGUGAAUGCAGAUAACAUGCGCAGUAUGAUCUGAUGUUCACAUCAUUAUUCUUCUGGAGAUGAUAGGAUGGAUGAUGAAACAGGAUUAGGCCUUCAGAAAGAGCCCAGAAAACCAGAGGAUCAAUGACUCAACGGGAGCCCAGAGUGGUCAGAUUGUCUUAAAGGAUGGGAGAGCUGGUUGCCAAGAUGAUUAUUCCUGGUGCAACCGAUGCUAGUCGUCGUCGUCGUCACUGGUUUCUGUGGGAACAGCGGUGAAUGGCAGUGAAGCGGAUCCUGCUGCAGAUGCUCCGAGUGUGUUAUCCAAGUGCUCCGUCGCUGCAGCGCUCCAUCAGAAUCCAGCUGCACGUCACUGAUGCACCAGAUGCAGAACCAU